GCCGGGUUGGUGAAAUGGAAGACACUCCUCGCUCAGAACGAGGCGCUUGAAGGUUCGAGUCCUUCACCCGGUA
rnacentral:tRNA from 1 species